GAUUCUCCCUUCUCUUGAAUUCACCUUCGCAUUUCUAUCAGAACUCAUAUUUUCAUGGGUGUGUUUACGGACUCUGUAUUUUCUUCCGUUAAUCUACCUGUCUACUCCUUUCCAAGAUGGCAGUCUUGAUUACUGCAACUUUGGCAAGACCUCCCCAAAUUCAUCCUUGUUUUUGAAAAUUUGGACGUUCCAGGUGAAGCGCAGAAUCAGACUGUGUAUGUACACAGAACUCCUGCUAGGAUCUCGAUGGGAAUUGCAUUAGUUUUACAGAACAACUUGGGGAUAAUUAACUAUUUUACCACAUGGACUCUUCCACGUCAUGGACACAUUGUUUCUCUCCAUCGAAUUAGGUCCUCUUUGAUUUCUUUCAUUAGGAUCUUAAGGUGUUCCGCAGGCACUUCCUGUAAAUUUUUUGUUGUUAUCGUUGGUUUCGUACGUACCUAUUCCCUUGCGUGUUGCUUUUCAGUUUCAGUUUGUGACGCUCACGGUGGUUUUCCAUGUGUUGACCUUGUCUCUUUCAUCAUUGCUAAAUGCACUUAUUAGUUCUAGGGGUUUGAGCAGAGAUACGUUGGGGUGUUCCACGUGGCAUACACGGUCAUGAGAUCUACGCCAAGGGGCAAUUUGAUUUCUUCCUUUCUCAUUUGUGUGCUGCUCCCUUUCCUGACAUCAUUGCCCUGUCUGGGACUUCCAGGGUGACACCAAACAGUCGUGGUGAGAGUCACCACCCUGACCUUGUUCUCAGCCUUACAGAGAAAGCAUUCCAUUUCUUGACCUUGCAGGUUUGGGGGCACAUACCCUUUAGCAGGUUCAGGAAGUGGUCUUCCAUUCCCUGUGUGUCAGAGGAUUUCAUAUCAUCAGUGGAUUUUGUGUCUUGUCAAAUGGCUUUCCUUCGUACCUUCAUAUCAUGCUGUCAUUUGUCUUCUUUGCCUGACCUCAAC
rnacentral:lncRNA from 1 species